rnacentral:lncRNA from 1 species
CACUACUUGAAGCCCCCCAAACAAACUGAUGCACCAUAUAUUCAAUUUCCUCACAAAGACCUUUGAGUAUCAACAUUGACUGCAUGAAAUAAUUGGGGAUCACCAAUAAGACCGAUUGAGCCAGAGUGGCCCUACUAGCUAAAGACAACGACCUUACAUCCUAACUCCGCAAUUUACUCUGAACCUUUUCCUCAACAAAACGCAAGGUGCUAUUGGUUACUUUGUCAUGAAACAAAGGUACACCCAAAUAACUUCUAAAAUUCUAAACUCUACGAAAACCAAGAAUACUGCACAAGCUACCUCCUCAAGCAUCACUUACACAUUCUGAGAAGAAAAUAGUAGUUUUAUAAGCAUUAAUCUUAU